CACGUAGGGAGCAAGCGUUGUCCGGAUUUAUUGGGCGUAAAGAGCUCGUAGGUGGUUCGAUAAGUCGGGUGUGAAACCUCCAGGCUCAACCUGGAGACGCCACCCGAUACUGUCGUGACUAGAGUCCAGUAGGGGAGCGUGGAAUUCCUGGUGUAGCGGUGAAAUGCGCAGAUAUCAGGAGGAACACCAGCGGCGAAGGCGGCGCUCUGGGCUGGCACUGACACUGAGGAGCGAAAGCGUGGGGAGCGAACAGG
rnacentral:rRNA from 1 species